rnacentral:rRNA from 1 species
GACGAACGCUGGCGGCGUGCUUAACACAUGCAAGUCGAACGAAGUGGCGAACGGGUGAGUAACGCGUAAUCAACCUGCCCUUCAGAGGGGGACAACAGUUGGAAACGACUGCUAAUAACGCAUACUGAAGGAGGGGAAUGCGUCUGAUUAGCUAGUUGGAGGGGUAACGGCCCACAAAGGCGACGAUCCCCAGCUGGUCUGGGAGGGUGAUCAGCCACACUGGGACUGAGACACGGCCCAGACCCCUACGGGGGGCAGCAGUGGGGAAUCUUCCGCAAUGGACGAAAGUCUGACGGAGCAACGCCGCGUGAGUGAUGACGGCCUUCGGGUUGUAAAGCUCUGUUAAUCGGGACGCGGUACCGGAAUAGAAAGCCACGGCUAACUACGUGCCAGCAGCCGCGGUAAUUC